UACGGGGGGGGCAAGCGUUGUUCGGAAUUACUGGGCGUAAAGGGCUCGUAGGCGGCCAACUAAGUCGGAUGUGAAAUCCCCAGGCUCAACCUGGGAACUGCAUCCGAUACUGGAUGGCUUGAGUCCGGGAGAGGGAUGCAGAAUUCCAGGUGUAGCGGUGAAAUGCCUAGAUAUCUGGAGGAACACCUGUGGCGAAGGCGGCUUUCUGGGCCUUACCUGACGCUGAGACGCGAAAGCGUGGGGAGCGAACCGG
rnacentral:rRNA from 1 species